CCCUUAGAUGUUCUGGGCUGCACGCGUGCUACACUGAUAUUGCCAAUAUGUCAUUCUUAUCCGAAAUGGAUUGGGUAAUCAAGUAAUGAAAUUUCAUGCUUGGAAUCGGUAAUUGCAAUUUUAUCGUGAACGAGGAAUUCCUAGUAAGCACUAGUCAUCAGCUAAUGUUGAUUAUGUCCCUGCCCUUUGUACACACCGCCCGUCGCUACUACUGAUUGGGUGUUCAAGUGAGAUGCUUAGACCCUUGUUGCAUGGUUCAUUAUUGUGCUCCGAAAGGAAAAAGUUUCAAGCUUGAUUGUCUAGAGGAAGUAAAAGUCGUAACA
rnacentral:rRNA from 1 species